rnacentral:rRNA from 1 species
GAGGUUAAGCGACUAAGCGUACACGGUGGAUGCCCUGGCAGUCAGAGGCGAUGAAGGACGUGCUAAUCUGCGAUAAGCGCCGGUAAGGUGAUAUGAACCGUUAUAACCGGCGAUUUCCGAAUGGGGAAACCCAGUGUGACUCGUCACACUAUCAUUAACUGAAUCCAUAGGUUAAUGAGGCGAACCGGGGGAACUGAAACAUCUAAGUACCCCGAGGAAAAGAAAUCAACCGAGAUUCCCCCAGUAGCGGCGAGCGAACGGGGAGGAGCCCAGAGCCUGAAUCAGCAUGUGUGUUAGUGGAAGCGUCUGGAAAGGCGCGCGAUACAGGGUGACAGCCCCGUACACAAAAGCGCAUGUGCUGUGAGCUCGAUGAGUAGGGCGGGACACGUGGUAUCCUGUCUGAAUAUGGGGGGACCAUCCUCCAAGGCUAAAUACUCCUGACUGACCGAUAGUGAACCAGUACCGUGAGGGAAAGGCGAAAAGAACCCCGGCGAGGGGAGUGAAAAAGAACCUGAAACCGUGUACGUACAAGCAGUGGGAGCACCCUUUGGGGUGUGACUGCGUACCUUUUGUAUAAUGGGUCAGCGACUUAUAUUCUGUAGCAAGGUUAACCGAAUAGGGGAGCCGGAGGGAAACCGAGUCUUAAUUGGGCGUUAAGUUG